rnacentral:lncRNA from 1 species
CGGGCACAGUGUCCUUAUGUGGAUCGGUGUGUCUGACCCCUGGGCACCCGCUGGGGGUGCAGCUCCACCAGGCCCAGUGCUCUGGAGCUCCCGCAGACGCCACCUGCCACCACGCAUAAGCCAAGGUGAACAGGCAGCCGCAGGAAGGGCGUCCAGAUGGCUCCUUAAUCCUAAAGAAGCCAGAUCCGAAUCUUGCCAAAUUGUAGCCAGGAGUUCUCGAGCAGCCGGAGAGCGAUGGAUUUCCACCGGCAGAGGAAAGAUCCAGCUUUAGGAGCAGAAUCACACCUGCCAGCUGGCCCUAGCAAGCUGUGGUCUCUGGGAGGCCAGGGACGAGAGCCCACUCCCUCCUCCGUUCAUGGCUCAGGGUCGUGGCCAGAGCCUGCCUGUGUAGAGGCGACUCCAGCAGCCCCCAGCCCCGCCCAGCUCUGCCCACACAGCUGCAAGGCCAGCAUCCUGCCCUUUGUCAAGUUCACCACAGUCAUGUCCCACCCCCCAUUCGCUGAAAUCAGCCCCAAAUUGCCUGGAAACCCAGACCCCGCACCCCCUCCCCAGCUUUCCUUCUUCAUGGAGUUUCUAUUUCAGAACAAGGAAACAGAUACCCC